UAAACUGCCUUAAUCAUGGGAAACGGGUCAGGUCUGGAAAGAAGCAGCCCUACCAUGGACAGCUGAUGCUUGUGGAGCAACGGGGUGGAGUUGGGUUU
rnacentral:SRP_RNA from 1 species